CUUAGAUGGACCUUAACACAGUCCCAUAAACA
rnacentral:tRNA from 1 species